UACAGGAAGUUCAGGAGAACGUUUAUACGAGCCGCUGAGCUGACACCCAGUAUUUUCCGCUCAACAACGUUUUAAACCACGUCUCAAAUUAGCAGAGAGCUGGCCUCAGCCCUCACCCAGGACAGACACAGAGAGAAUGCCCCCUCUCCCCUCCGGCUGUAUCUUUCAGUUUGCUGAAACUCCCGCAGGGGGCCGGACGGGGAAAGAACAACAAUGUGUCUGUCCCAGUGAUGACAUGGGUGCCUGGACUGCAUGUGACACAUGACACACUCUCAUUGAGCAACGGAAACAUGACCUUAUGACUGCACGGAGGGCUGCCAAAAUACUGUAAACCAAUGCCCAGAUGUCAAGUCUUGGUGCAGGGCAUUUGUACCAGAAAAUUCUGUGUUUUGGAGGAAACUAGGAAGAACGGAAUAGCACAUUUCCACAAAGGUUGCAAAACCAUAGCUAUUUUCACUUAGCCUG